UACAUGCAGUCGAACGGAGGCCCUAGCUUGCUAGGUAUCCUUAGUGGCGCACGGGUGAGUAACACGUGGGAACAUACCUUAUAGUACGGAAUAACUGCGGGAAACUGUAGCUAAUACCGUAUACUCCAGUAAUGGGAAAGAUUUAUCGCUAUAAGAUUGGCCCGCGCAAGAUUAGCUUGUUGGUGAGGUAAAAGCUCACCAAGGCUUCGAUCUUUAGCUGGUUUGAGAGGACGAUCAGCCACACUGGGACUGAGACACGGCCCAGACUCCUACGGGAGGCAGCAGUAGGGAAUAUUGGACAAUGGGGGCAACCCUGAUCCAGCAAUGCAGCGUGAGUGACGAAGGCCUUAGGGUUGUAAAACUCUUUCAUCGGUGAGGAUAAUGACAGUAGCCGAAGAAGAAGGACCGGCUAAUUCCGUGCCAGCAGCCGCGGUAAUACGGAAGGUCCUAGCGUUGUUCGGAAUUACUGGGCGUAAAGCGCAUGUAGGCGGAACAGAAAGUUAGAAGUGAAAUCCCUGGGCUCAACCUAGGAAUUGCUUUUAAAACUUCUGUUCUGGAAUUCAGGAGAGGAAAAUGGAAUUUCCAGUGUAGAGGUGAAAUUCGUAGAUAUUGGAAGGAACACCAGUGGCGAAGGCGAUUUUCUGGACUGAUAUUGACGCUGAGAUGCGAAGGCAUGGGUAGCAAACGGGAUUAGAUACCCCGGUAGUCCAUGCAGUAAACGAUGGGUGCUAGUCGUCGGACUUUUGUUCGGUGUCGUAGCUAACGCGUUAAGCACCCCGCCUGGGGAGUACGGUCGCAAGAUUAAAACUCAAAUAAAUUGACGGGGACCCGCACAAGCAGUGGAGCAUGUGGUUUAAUUCGACGCAACGCGAAGAACCUUACCAGCGUUU
rnacentral:rRNA from 1 species